GAUGAACGCUGGCGGCGUGCUUAACACAUGCAAGUCGAACGAUGAUCCGGUGCUUGCACCGGGGAUUAGUGGCGAACGGGUGAGUAACACGUGAGUAACCUGCCCUUAACUCUGGGAUAAGCCUGGGAAACUGGGUCUAAUACCGGAUAUGACUCCUCAUCGCAUGGUGGGGGGUGGAAAGCUUUUUGUGGUUUUGGAUGGACUCGCGGCCUAUCAGCUUGUUGGUGAGGUAAUGGCUUACCAAGGCGACGACGGGUAGCCGGCCUGAGAGGGUGACCGGCCACACUGGGACUGAGACACGGCCCAGACUCCUACGGGAGGCAGCAGUGGGGAAUAUUGCACAAUGGGCGCAAGCCUGAUGCAGCGACGCCGCGUGAGGGAUGACGGCCUUCGGGUUGUAAACCUCUUUCAGUAGGGAAGAAGCGAAAGUGACGGUACCUGCAGAAGAAGCGCCGGCUAACUACGUGCCAGCAGCCGCGGUAAUACGUAGGGCGCAAGCGUUAUCCGGAAUUAUUGGGCGUAAAGAGCUCGUAGGCGGUUUGUCGCGUCUGCCGUGAAAGUCCGGGGCUCAACUCCGGAUCUGCGGUGGGUACGGGCAGACUAGAGUGAUGUAGGGGAGACUGGAAUUCCUGGUGUAGCGGUGAAAUGCGCAGAUAUCAGGAGGAACACCGAUGGCGAAGGCAGGUCUCUGGGCAUUAACUGACGCUGAGGAGCGAAAGCAUGGGGAGCGAACAGG
rnacentral:rRNA from 1 species